rnacentral:misc_RNA from 1 species
UACGAAGGGUGCAAGCGUUGUUCGGAAUUAUUGGGCGUAAAGCGCACGUAGGCGGGUUCGUAUGUCAAUUGUGAAAUCCCCGGGCUCAACCCGGGAAUUGCAGUUGAAACUGCGAAUCUUGAAUACCUGAGAGGGUGGGAGAAUUCCUGGUGGAGUAGUGAAAUACGUAGAGAUCAGGAGGAAUACCGGAGGCGAAGGCGCCUGCCUGGCAGUGUAUUGACGCUGAGGUGCGAAAGCGUGGGGAGCAAACAGG